AGUCGACGCUUCUUUUUCCACCGGAGCUUGCUCCACCGGAAAAAGAAGAGUGGCGAACGGGUGAGUAACACGUGGGUAACCUGCCCAUCAGAAGGGGAUAACACUUGGAAACAGGUGCUAAUACCGUAUAACAAUCAAAACCGCAUGGUUUUGAUUUGAAAGGCGCUUUCGGGUGUCGCUGAUGGAUGGACCCGCGGUGCAUUAGCUAGUUGGUGAGGUAACGGCUCACCAAGGCCACGAUGCAUAGCCGACCUGAGAGGGUGAUCGGCCACAUUGGGACUGAGACACGGCCCAAACUCCUACGGGAGGCAGCAGUAGG
rnacentral:rRNA from 1 species